GACGAACGCUGGCGGCGUGCUUAACACAUGCAAGUCGAACGGAAAGGCCCUGCUUUUGUGGGGUGCUCGUGUGGCGAACGCGUGAGUAACACGCGAGUAACCUGCCCUUGACUUUGGGAUAACUCCAGGAAACUGGGGCUAAUACCGGAUAGGAGCUCCUGCUGCAUGGGGGGGGUUGGAAAGUUUCGGCGGUUGGGGAUGGACUCGCAGCUUACCAGCUUGUUGGUGGGGUAGUGGCUUACCAAGGCUUUGACGGGUAGCCGGCCUGAGAGGGUGAACGGCCACAAUGGGACUGAGAGACGGCCCAGACUCCUACGGGAGGCAGCAGGGGGGAAUAUUGCACAAUGGGGGGAAGCCUGAUGCAGCAACGCCGCGUGCGGGAUGACGGCCUUCGGGUUAUAAACCGCUUUCGCCUGUGACGAAGCGUGAGUGACGGUAAUUAGUAAAGAAGCACCGGCUAACUACGUG
rnacentral:rRNA from 1 species